UGCAGUCGUACGCUUCUUUUUCCACCGGAGCUUGCUCCACCGGAAAAAGAAGAGUGGCGAACGGGUGAGUAACACGUGGGUAACCUGCCCAUCAGAAGGGGAUAACACUUGGAAACAGGUGCUAAUACCGUAUAACAAUCGAAACCGCAUGGUUUUGAUUUGAAAGGCGCUUUCGGGUGUCGCUGAUGGAUGGACCCGCGGUGCAUUAGCUAGUUGGUGAGGUAACGGCUCACCAAGGCCACGAUGCAUAGCCGACCUGAGAGGGUGAUCGGCCACAUUGGGACUGAGACACGGCCCAAACUCCUACGGGAGGCAGCAGUAGGGAAUCUUCGGCAAUGGACGAAAGUCUGACCGAGCAACGCCGCGUGAGUGAAGAAGGUUUUCGGAUCGUAAAACUCUGUUGUUAGAGAAGAACAAGGAUGAGAGUAACUGUUCAUCCCUUGACGGUAUCUAACCAGAAAGCCACGGCUAACUACGUGCCAGCAGCCGCGGUAAUACGUAGGUGGCAAGCGUUGUCCGGAUUUAUUGGGCGUAAAGCGAGCGCAGGCGGUUUCUUAAGUCUGAUGUGAAAGCCCCCGGCUCAACCGGGGAGGGUCAUUGGAAACUGGGAGACUUGAGUGCAGAAGAGGAGAGUGGAAUUCCAUGUGUAGCGGUGAAAUGCGUAGAUAUAUGGAGGAACACCAGUGGCGAAGGCGGCUCUCUGGUCUGUAAAAAGCGUGGGGAGCAAACAGGAUUAGAUACCCUGGUAGUCCACGCCGUAAACGAUGAGUGCUAAGUGUUGGAGGGUUUCCGCCCUUCAGUGCUGCAGCUAACGCAUUAAGCAGGUCUUGGGAUUCAGUUGGGCACUCUAGCAAGACUGCCGGUUAUGACCUGGGCUACACACCUUGCU
rnacentral:rRNA from 2 species